UUUUGAGACAGAGAGAGAGCAUGAACAGGGGAGGGUCAGAGAGAGAGGGAGACACAGAAUCCGAAGCAGGCUCCAGGCUCUGAGCUGUCAGCACAGAGCCCGACGCGGGGCUCGAACUCAUGGACCGCGAGAUCGUGACUUGAGCCGAAGUCGGCCGCUUAACCGACUGAGCCACGCAGGCACCCCUCUCAUGUAUUUCUAAACACAUUUAGUGUUGGGUUACCUGGUCACAGACUUUCGCCGAUUGCCAGCCCAGCAUCUGUUCUCCCCUUGUUUUCGACUAAAGAAGCCUAACUUUGUCAGGCAGCAAUGUAGGCGCUAGAAAAAAUCUUUCCCGGCCUCUUUCGCGGUUAGAAGCGACUACGUGAUACGAUUUCUGACCACUGAGAUAUACGACGAUGUCUGCUGGGGAUUUCUGAUCCGUUUUUGCUCACCCCUUUUUUCUUCCCGUUGCCUCGAGAGAAGACCUGAUGGCUGGCGCAGUGGCUUCUUGCACAACGGGGGCUCUUCUUCCCUCCUAAGGCGGCCUGUGAUGGAAGCAGUGAGUCUCAGGAUCCAGAGAGACCAAGCAGCGUUCUUAAGAUUCCAUUGAGGACCCGAGGCACUGAUGGGCGUCUAGUCCUGCUGCCCUGAACCAUCUCUUUCAUGGAAAAAAAAACCAAUUCACGUCAAUGAAUCAACCGUGUAACCCUUA